CGCCUCUUGCUAACAAAGGAAGUACUAGAGGUCCCGCCUGCCCUGUGACCACAAAGUUUAACGGCCGCGGUAUCCUGACCGUGCGAAGGUAGCGUAAUCAUUUGUCUUUUAAAUAGAGACCUGUAUGAAUGGCAUAACGAGGGUUUAACUGUCUCCUUCCCCUAGUCAAUGAAAUUGAUCUGCCCGUGCAGAAGCGGACAUAAACACAUAAGACGAGAAGACCCUAUGGAGCUUUAGACAAAAGAUCAAACAUGUAAAGAAACCAAACCAACCAAAAGGAACACGAAGGCCACAAAACCCAACGUAAACUGAUCUAAAUGUCUUCGGUUGGGGCGACCAUGGGGGAAAGAAAAGCCCCCACGAGGAACAGGGACAACCCCUAAACUAAGAGAGACACCUCUAAGCAACAGA
rnacentral:rRNA from 1 species